rnacentral:rRNA from 1 species
AUUGAACGCUGGCGGCAGGCCUAACACAUGCAAGUCGAACGAGUGGCGGACGGGUGAGUAAUGUCUGGGAAACUGCCUGAUGGAGAGGGAUAACUACUGGAAACGGUAGCUAAUACCGCAUACCAUCGGAUGUGCCCAGAUGGGAUUAGCUAGUAGGUGGGGUAAAAGCUCACCUAGGAGACGAUCCCUAGCUGGUCUGAGAGGAUGACCAGACACACUGGAACUGGGACACGGUCCAGAGGCCUACGGGAGGCAGCAGUGGGGAAUAGUGGACAAUGGGCGCAAGCCUGAUGCAGCCAUGGCGCGUGUAUGAAGAAGGCGGUCGGGUUGUAAAGUACUUUCAGCGGGGGUGCGUUACCCGCAGAAGAAGCACCGGCUAACUCCGUGCCAGCAGCCGCGGUAAUUC